rnacentral:misc_RNA from 1 species
GGAAGGAUCAUUACCGAGAUAUGCCCUUCGGGGUAGACCUCCCACCCUGUGUAUACCUUACCUCUGUUGCUUUGGCGGGCCGCCUAGCUACCGGCUUCGGCUGGUAAGUGCCCGCCAGAGGACCCAAAACCCUGAAUAUUAGUGUCGUCUGAGUAAAAUUUUAAUAUUUAAAACUUUCAACAACGGAUCUCUUGGCUCUGGCAUCGAUGAAGAACGCAGCGAAAUGCGAUAAGUAAUGUGAAUUGCAGAAUUCAGUGAAUCAUCGAAUCUUUGAACGCACAUUGCGCCCCUUGGUAUUCCGAGGGGCAUGCCUAUUCGAGCGUCAUUAUCACCCCUCAAGCUCAGCUUGGUGUUGGGGCCUGCCAUCACGGCAGCCCCUAAAAUCAGUGGCGGUGCCCUCAGGCUCUAAGCGCAGUAAUUUCUCUCGCUACAGACCCCUGGAGGCGCCCGCCAGCAACCCCCCAUUUUUUUAAUGAUUGACCUCGGAUUAGGUAGGGAUACCCGCUGAACUUAAGCAUAUCAAUAAGCGGAGGAAAAGAAACCAACAGGGAUUGCCUCAGUAACGGCGAGUGAAGCGGCAAAAGCUCAAAUUUGAAAUCUGGCUCUUUCAGGGUCCGAGUUGUAAUUUGUAGAAGAUGUUUCGGGUGUGGCUCCGGUUUAAGUUCUUUGGAAUAUUACAUCAUAGAGGGUGAGAAUCCCGUAUGUGACCGGCAGCCUUCGUCCAUGUGAAACUCUUUCGACGAGUCGAGUUGUUUGGGAAUGCAGCUCAAAAUGGGAGGUAUAUUUCUUCUAAAGCUAAAUAUUGGCCAGAGACCGAUAGCGCACAAGUAGAGUGAUCGAAAGAUGAAAAGCACUUUGGAAAGAGAGUUAAACAGUACGUGAAAUUGUUGAAAGGGAAGCGCUUGCAACCAGACUUGCACGCAGUUGAUCAUCCGGUGUUCUCACCGGGGCACUCUGCUGCGUUCAGGCCAGCAUCGGUUUUGGUGGUUGGAUAAAGGCCUUGGGAAUGUGGCUUCCUUCGGGGAGUGUUAUAGCCCUCGGUGCAAUGCAGCCUACCGGGACCGAGGACCGCGCUUCGGCUAGGAUGCUGGCGUAAUGGUUGUAAGCGACCCGUCUUGAAACACGGACCAAGGAGUCUAACAUCUAUGCGAGUGUUUGGGUGUCAAACCCAUACGCGUAAUGAAAGUGAACGGAGGUGAGAACCCUUAAGGGUGCAUCAUCGACCGGUCCUGAUGUCUUCGGAUGGAUCUGAGUAAGAGCAUAGCUGUUGGGACCCGAAAGAUGGUGAACUAUGCGUGAAUAGGGUGAAGCCAGAGGAAACUCUGGUGGAGGCUCGCAGCGGUUCUGACGUGCAAAUCGAUCGUCAAAUUUGCGCAUAGGGGCGAAAGACUUAUCGAACCAUCUAGUAGCUGGUUCCUGC